rnacentral:rRNA from 1 species
AAAAUUUAAAAUUAAAAUAUUAAAAUAGUAAAUAAUUAUUUAUUAAAACUUAAAUAAUUUGGCGGUAUUUUAGUUCAUUUAGAGGAAUCUGUUUAAUAAUUGAUAUUCCACGAAUAAAUUUACUUAAUUUAUAAUUUUGUAUAUCGUUGUUAUAAAAAUAUUUUAUAAUAAGAUUAAUAUUUUAAAAUUAUUAUAAAAAUUAAAUCAGAUCAAGAUGCAGAUUAUAAUUAAGAAUAUAAUGGAUUACAAUAAAUUUAUUUAAAUGAAUAUUAAUUUGUAAAAAUUAAUUGAAAGUGGAUUUAAAUGUAAUUUUAUUUAAUUUAAUAUAAUGAUUAAAAAUUAAAAUAUGU